CCUCGCGUCCCACAACGCAAGCGCGAAAAUCCCAUCCUUAGGGGGCAGCCACACGGAUUUCUUAGCGAUUCAGAUAAUGAGUCGAAGCGGGAAAGCGCGCGCACUAUCGCCGCGCUUAGGACUUCUAUGCGGUCACUACGUGGUGUAGUGGAAGAGCUUAAAGGCGAACUAGCUAACAUCCGCCUGAAAUAUAUAGAGCUUAAGGACGACUUAGCCACUGUACAAUUCGGUCUAACAAACCAGCUUGUCAAGGUGGCUCGGGCUGCGGGUGUAGAGCAUGUUCUAGACACAAACCACAUCUAGUUUAAUUUUGCUUAGCCGAGUAAUUUAUUUUCCCUUUUAUUCAGAUUUCCUUCAUUUACUUUGUAAUCAAUGUCUCGGCUUAUAUUGAAUAAUAAAGAAGUCCUUUGUUCGAAUUAUUUUGUCUCCACUUGUUUUUGUAUUAUUUUUGUCUACUUGAGAAAAAUCAAAGAAGAGGUAAAAAACAAGUGUGGGGGAGAAAUCGCCAUCAAGGUAAUCUUACAUAGAAAAAAAAUUUUAGAAUUAAUUUUAUUCCUCCUACGACAAUUUAAAUCUGAUUUAUAUGAUAAAAAUAUUGCUAAUAAAAUAAAAAGAUAAAAAAAAAUAAAUGAAUACUCCAUUUCCUUUCUGCCUUUGAAAUUAAACAUGCAUACUCUUUAUUCCUCGCCAAAAGCCUACCAUUUAUGAGCAACCUUUUAUAAGGACCCCAUUGCUUCUAAGUAAUUGAGAUUUUCUAUAUAGUAGGAUGAUUUGAAACUUGCUCACUUAUGCAAUGAACUUGGGAAUUUAUUUGAUAAAAUUAAAAUUGCAAAAAGUCUGCUCUUCAAUGAUAGAUAAUUACCUACCAAGGCCAAAUAUAUUACUCUUGAUAAAAAUUCUACAAAUAGCUGCUUAUUUGUUUUGAGUCGUGUCAAGUCUUGUUGACCCUUAUUAAGAGAUUUAUCAUGCUCUCAAGAUCAAGAUCACGUACACUCCAAAUACAUAUAUAUGCCGCUUCUACACUGGGAGUGCGCAAAAACAUGCCUUACAUGUCCACCAUACAAACACUCCAUGUUUUAAAGAAUGAUCUCUCUAGUGCAUCUUAGAUAAAGACAUGGGCUAUGCAAAUAUAUAUAUAUAUAUAAAGAGAAGAAAAAAAAAUGGGCAAGUGUCCGCCGUAGAAUUAGGGGUAUAAAAAUACCCACCUGAAAAAAAUAUAGGACACAUGAAGGUCCUAAGUAUACAAAAAAAAGAUGAGCACAUGAAGGUUCACAAGAAAAUAAAAGAGUUAUGAUAGCCAUGUCUUGAAAUACUUGAUGAGAUCAUAUCAACCAAUAGAGUUGUUUAUACCAUAUACCACACACUUGCACAUCUUGAUCUAAGGGUAUGACACUUCUCUUCUUGGAUCCGAGAUUUGACUCGACAAUACAUACAAGGUAAGUAUGCAUUCUCCUUGGUCCAUACCCAAAACUCCAAAUACAGCUUAUAGAGGUAGGACAAAUCAAGAGGUACUUUUACCUUGGUAAGGAACC
rnacentral:lncRNA from 1 species